rnacentral:rRNA from 1 species
UACGUAGGGUGCAAGCGUUGUCCGGAAUUAUUGGGCGUAAAGAGCUCGUAGGCGGUUUGUCGCGUCUGCUGUGAAAACUCGGGGCUUAACCCCGGGCCUGCAGUGGGUACGGGCAGACUAGAGUGCGGUAGGGGGAGACUGGAAUUCCUGGUGUAGCGGUGAAAUGCGCAGAGUAUCAGGAGGAACACCGGUGGCGAAGGCGGGUCUCUGGGCCGUAACUGACGCUGAGGAGCGAAAGCGUGGGGAGCGAACAGG